ACGAGUUAGGGUCCUCUGGGCCCGACCUCCCAACCCUUUGUUUAUUGAACCUUUUGUUGCUUCGGCGGGCCCGUCGUCUCACGACGACCGCCGGAGGACUGCCGCGAGGCGUCCUCUGGCCCGCGCCCGCCGGUGGCCGACACAAAAUUCUUCUGUAUGAACCGUGUCUACUCUAAGUCUUUUGAUAUUAAUCAAAAAUA
rnacentral:misc_RNA from 1 species